rfam:Arenitalea lutea strain CGMCC 1.12213 genome assembly, contig: Ga0079849_103
AACUUGCUGCCCGCGUUAGGGAUAGAAGCGGUAUGCUUUUUUGAGACUAUCGAAGCCAAAAUAUUUUUGGUUGAAGAGACCAAAGCGAAGCAUUAAAAAAAGAUAUAGCGUAUAGCCCGACCCUUA